rnacentral:rRNA from 1 species
ACGGGGGCAGCAGUGGGGAAUAUUGCACAAUGGGGGAAACCCUGAUGCAGCGACGCCGCGUGAGUGAAGAAGUAUUUCGGUAUGUAAAGCUCUAUCAGCAGGGAAGAUAAUGACGGUACCUGACUAAGAAGCACCGGCUAAAUACGUGCCAGCAGCCGCGGUAAUACGUAUGGUGCAAGCGUUAUCCGGAUUUACUGGGUGUAAAGGGAGCGUAGACGGCAUGGCAAGUCUGAAGUGAAAGCCUGGGGCUCAACCCCGGAACUGCUUUGGAAACUGUUAAGCUAGAGUGCAGGAGAGGUAAGUGGAAUUCCUAGUGUAGCGGUGAAAUGCGUAGAUAUUAGGAGGAACACCAGUGGCGAAGGCGGCUUACUGGACUGUAACUGACGUUGAGGCUCGAAAGCGUGGGGAGCAAACAGGAUUAGAUACCCUGGUA